UUUGAGAGUGAAACUCUUUUU
rnacentral:piRNA from 1 species